rnacentral:rRNA from 1 species
GAACCGUACUAACGUUAUUCGGGAAUUAUUGGGCUUAAAGGGUGCGUAGGCGGUGCGGCAAGUUGGAUGUGAAAUCCCCCCAGCUCAACUGGGGAACAGCGUCCAAAACUGCCGUGCUAGAGGGAGACAGAGGUGAGCGGAACUCACGGUGGAGCGGUGAAAUGCGUUGAUAUCGUGAGGAACACCGGUGGCGAAGGCGGCUCACUGGGUCUCUACUGACGCUGAGGCACGAAAGCUAGGGGAGCGAACGGGAUUAGAUACCCCCGGUAGUCCUAGCUGUAAACGAUGAGCACUUGGUUGGAGGGGCUCCCAUACCCUUCCGGCCGUAGCGAAAGUGUUAAGUGCUCCGCCUGGGGAGUAUGGCCGCAAAGGCUG